rnacentral:rRNA from 1 species
CCUACGGGUGGCAGCAGUGAGGAAUAUUGGUCAAUGGGCGCGAGCCUGAACCAGCCAAGUAGCGUGAAUGAUGACUGCCCUCCGGGUUGUAAGCUUCUUUUGUAAAGGAAUAAAGUGGGGCACGUGUGCCUUUUUGUAUGUACUUGAUGGAUACGUAUCGGCUAACUCCGUGCCAGCCGGCGCGGUAAUACGGAGGAUCCGAGCGUUAUCCGGAUUUAGUGGGUUUAAAGGGAGCGUAGAUGGGUUGUUAAGUCAGUUGUGAAAGUUUGCGGCUCAACCGUAAAAUUGCAAUUGAUACUGGCAGUCUUGAGUACAGUUGAGGUAGGCGGAAUUCGUGGUGUAGCGGUGAAAUGCUUAGAUAUCACGAAGAACUCCGAUUGCGAAGGCAGCUUACUAAACUGCCACUGACAUUGAGGCUCGAAAGUGUGGGUAUCAAACAGGAUUAGAUACCCGGGUAGUC